AAAAUAUUAAUUAAAUUAAAUUUAAAGAGUAAGAAUUAAUAAUUUUAAAAAGAAUUUUAUAUAUUAAUUGUUUUAGUAAAUAUUAUAAAAAUAAUUAUUUAAUUUAUAUAUAAAGUAUUGUAAAAGAAAAUUUAAAUUUUAAUAUAAGUAUAUUUUAAUUAUAAUACCUUUUGUAUCAGGGUUUAUUUAAAUUAAUUAAGUUAUUUUAAGAUCUCGAAAAUAAAUGAGUUAUAUAAAUAUAAUUUUUUAAGUUAAAUUUUAAUUAUAAAUAUUUAUAUAGAAAUGAAAUGUUAUUCGUCUUUAUUGUUAUCUAGUUAUUUAUUAAAUGAAUUUAAUUCAGUUAUUUAAUUUUAUUUUUUUUAAUUAAUAAUUAAAUUAAAUUAAAUAAUAAUAUUUUAUGGGAUAAACUUUAAAAUAAAUUUUAUAAUUAGAAAAAUUAAAAUAAAAAAAUUAAGAAAAAUAUUAAUAAAAUUUAAAUUUUUUAGAUAUAAUGUAAUAAUAAAUUAAUUAAUUAAAAUUGUAAUUUAAUAAAAUAAAUGUAAAAAUUUAAUAAAUAAAUUUUUAAAAUAAUUUAAAUAUUAUAAUAAUGAUUAGAUUAGUAUAAAUUAAUUAUAAAAGUAAUUAUUUUAAAAAUAUUUUUUUAAGGAAUUAGGCAAUUUUAAAUAUAUCCGCCUGUUUAUCAAAAACAUGUCUUUAUGAAUAUAAUUUAAAGUCUAAUCUGCCCAAUGAUAGAUUUAAAUGGCUGCAGUAUUAUGACUGUACAAAGGUAGCAUAAUCAUUUGUCUUUUAAUUUGAGACUGGAAUGAAUGAUUUGACGAGAUAUAUACUGUCUCAAUUAAAUUUAUUGAAAUUGAUUUUUUAGUUAAAAAUCUAAAAUUAAAUUAAAAGACGAUAAGACCCUAUAGAAUUUUAUAUUUUAUUUAAAUGAUUAACAUAAAUUUAUAAAAUAUUAUUUAAAUUAAAUAUUUAAUUGGGAUGAUUUUUAAAUUAAAAUAACUUUAAAUUUUUUUUUACAAUAAUUAAUGUUUUAUAAAUAUAUUUUAAUAAAUAUUAAAAAAUAAAAUUACCUUAGGGAUAACAGCGUAAUAUUUUUAGAGAGAUCUUAUUGAUAAAAAUGUUUGCGACCUCGAUGUUGAAUUAAGAUAAAAGUUAAAUGAAGAAGUUUAAUAUUUAAGUCUGUUCGACUUUUAAAAUCUUACAUGAUUUGAGUUCAGAUCGGUGUGAGCCAGAUCGGAUUCUAUCUUUAAUUAAAUUUAAUAUUAUUGUACGAAAGGACUUUUUAUUAAUAUAAAAUAUUUUAAUAAAAUUAAUAUAAUUUAU
rnacentral:rRNA from 1 species